GUUGAACGCUGGCGGCAGGCCUAACACAUGCAAGUCGGGCGAGAGGCGGACGGGUGAGUAAUGUAUGAGGACCUGCCUGAUGUAGGGGGCUAACUACUGGAAACGGUGGCUAAUACCGCAUACCAUCCGAUGAACCCAUAUUGGAUUAGCUUGUAGGUGAGGUAACGGCUCACCUAGGCGACGAUCCAUAGCUGGUCUGAGAGGAUGAUCAGCCACACUGGGACUGAGACACGGCCCAGACUCCUACGGGAGGCAGCAGUGGGGAAUAUUGCGCAAUGGGCGAAAGUCUGAUCCAGCCAUGCCGCGUGAAUGAAGAAGGUUUUCGGGUUGUAAAGUUCUGUUGUUAGGGAAGCGGUAUCUACAGAAGAAGCAACGGCUAACUCCGUGCCAGCAGCCGCGGUAAUAC
rnacentral:rRNA from 1 species